rnacentral:rRNA from 1 species
UACGUAGGAUGCGAGCGUUAUCCUGAAUUACUGGGUGUAAGGGGAGCGCAGGCGGGACUGCAAGUUGGAUGUGAAAUGCCGCAGCUUAACUGCGGAGCUGCAUCCAAAACUGUAGUUCUUGAGUGGAGUAGAGGCAAGCGGAAUUCCGAGUGUAGCGGUGAAAUGCGUAGAUAUUCGGAGGAACACCAGUGGCGAAGGCGGCUUGCUGGGCUCUAACUGACGCUGAGGCUCGAAAGUGUGGGGAGCAAACAGG